AUAUAGAGAUUUUCGGAUUUUGUUCACCGGAUAGUAGUUACAUAGCCAAUUGUGGAACUUUCUUGCUAAAAUUUUUCAAGUUAUAGUCUUUAGGGAUUAUAUUCUUGUUUAAUUAUAACGAUUAUCAAUUAACAAUCAAUUCAGAACUGGCACGGACUUGGGGAAUCCGACUGUCUAAUUAAAACAAAGCAUUGUGAUGGCCCUAGCGGGUGUUGACACAAUGUGAUUUCUGCCCAGUGCUCUGAAUGUCAAAGUGAAGAAAUUCAAGUAAGCGCGGGUAAACGGCGGGAGUAACUAUGACUCUCUUAAGGUAGCCAAAUGCCUCGUCAUCUAAUUAGUGACGCGCAUGAAUGGAUUAACGAGAUUCCUUCUGUCCCUAUCUACUAUCUAGCGAAACCACAGCCAAGGGAACGGGCUUGGAAUAAUUAGCGGGGAAAGAAGACCCUAUUGAGCUUGACUCUAAUCUGGCAGUGUAAGGAGACAUAAGAGGUGUAGAAUAAGUGGGAGAUAUAUAGAAAUUUAUUUUUAUAUAUCGCCAAUGAAAUACCACUACUCUUAUUGUUUCCUUACUUACUUGAUUAAAUGGAACGUGUAUCAUUGCUUAGCCAUAUUAAGGAUCUAUUUUCAAUAGAUCUUAUGGUAUUGGGUCUUGAUGCAAGCUUCUUGAUCAAAGUAUCACGAGUUUGUUAUAUAAUUGUAAACAAAAUUUAAUGAAAAUAAUUGUAUUUCAUACAUUUAUUGUUAAUUAAAAUUUGGUAUAACUCCAACACUCAGGUAUGAUCCAAUUCAAGGACAUUGCCAGGUGGGGAGUUCGACUGGGGCGGUACAUCUCUCAAAUAAUAACGG
rnacentral:rRNA from 1 species